rnacentral:rRNA from 1 species
UACGAAGGGAGCUAGCGUUGUUCGGAAUCACUGGGCGUAAAGCGCACGUAGGCGGAUUUGCCAGUCAGGGGUGAAAUCCCGGGACUCAACCUCGGAACUGCCUUGAUACAGCAAGUCUUGAGUUCGAGAGAGGUGGGUGGAAUUCCUAGUGUAGAGGUGAAAUUCGUAGAUAUUAGGAAGAACACCGGUGGCGAAGGCGGCCCACUGGCUCGACACUGACGCUGAGGUGCGAAAGCGUGGGGAGCAAACAGG